rnacentral:rRNA from 1 species
CCUACGGGAGGCAGCAGUGGGGAAUAUUGCACAAUGGGCGCAAGCCUGAUCCAGCCAUGCCGCGUGCAGGAAGACGCAUCUAUGGUGUGUAAACUGCUUUUGUACAGGAAGAAACACUCCCUCGUGAGGGAGCUUGACGGUACUGUAAGAAUAAGGAUCGGCUAACUCCGUGCCAGCAGCCGCGGUAAUACGGAGGAUCCAAGCGUUAUCCGGAAUCAUUGGGUUUAAAGGGUCCGUAGGCGGUUUAAUAAGUCAGUGGUGAAAUCUGGUCGCUCAACGAUCAAACGGCCAUUGAUACUGUUAGACUUGAAUUAUAAGGAAGUAACUAGAAUAUGUAGUGUAGCGGUGAAAUGCUUAGAUAUUACAUGGAAUACCAAUUGCGAAGGCAGGUUACUACUUAUGGAUUGACGCUGAUGGACGAAAGCGUGGGGAGCGAACAGGAUUAGAUACCCUGGUAGUCCACGCCGUAAACGAUGGAUACUAGCUGUUGGGCGCAAGUUCAGUGGCUAAGCGAAAGUGAUAAGUAUCCCACCUGGGGAGUACGUUCGCAAGAAUGAAACUCAAAGGAAUUGACGG